AUUUUUGGUAAAGGUGAAAGGGGUUGUUGGUAACUGAAGGACCCUGUAGUCAGGCUUCAGGAACCUCCUUCUAUACUAGUUAUCACACAACAAUAUAUACCUGCUGUUUUUAAUUAUGUAUAAGAGUACCUUUUUAUCACAUGGAUCACUUAGUUGUGGCCCACGGCCUCCUGCAGGCCACCAAACAUCCCUUACCACAGCCUCCUGCAGGCCACCAAACAUCCCUUACCACAGCCUCCUGCAGGCCACCAAACAUCCCUUACCACAGCCUCCUGCAGGCCACCAAACAUCCCUUACCCACAGCCUCCUGCAGGCCACCAAACAUCCCUUACCCACAGCCUCCUGCAGGCCACCAAACAUCCCUCAACCACAACCUCCUGCAGGCCACCAAACAUCCCUCAACCACAACCUCCUGCAGGCCACCAAACAUCCCUCAACCACAACCUCCUGCUGGCCAGCAAACAUCCCUUACCAACAGCCUCCUGCAGGCCACCAAACAUCCCUCAACCACAGCCUCCUGCUGGCCAGCAAACAUCCCUUACCCACAGCCUCCUGAUGGCCAGCAAACAUCCCUUACCCACAGCCUCCUGCAGGCCACCAAACAUCCCUCAACCACAGCCUCCUGCUGGCCAGCAAACAUCCCUUACCCACAGCCUCCUGCAGGCCACCAAACAUCCCUUACCCACAGCCUCCUGCAGGCCACCAAACAUCCCUCGACCACAGCCUCAUGCAGGCCACCAAACAUCCCUCAACCACAGCCUCCUGCAGGCCACCAAACAUCCCUCAACCACAGCCUCCUGCAGGCCACCAAACAUCCCUUACCCACAGCCUCCUGCAGGCCACCAAACAUCCCUCAACCACAACCUCCUGCAGGCCACCAAACAUCCCUCAACCACAACCUCCUGCAGGCCACCAAACAUCCCUCAACCACAACCUCCUGCUGGCCAGCAAACAUCCCUUACCAACAGCCUCCUGCAGGCCACCAAACAUCCCUCAACCACAGCCUCCUGCUGGCCAGCAAACAUCCCUUACCCACAGCCUCCUGAUGGCCAGCAAACAUCCCUUACCCACAGCCUCCUGCAGGCCACCAAACAUCCCUCAACCACAGCCUCCUGCUGGCCAGCAAACAUCCCUUACCCACAGCCUCCUGCAGGCCACCAAACAUCCCUCAACCACAGCCUCCUGCAGGCCACCAAACAUCCCUUACCCACAGCCUCCUGCAGGCCACCAAACAUCCCUUACCCACAGCCUCCUGCAGGCCACCAAACAUCCCUCAACCACAGCCUCCUGCAGGCCACCAAACAUCCCUCAACCACCGCCUCCUGCAGGCCACCAAACAUCCCUCAACCACAGCAUCCUGCAGGCCACCAAACAUCCCUUACCCACAGCUACACAGCCUCCUGCAGGCCUCCAAACAUCCCUUACC